CGUUGACCCUGAGCAUCCGUGGACACUAAAAAGAUGUAAAACUCUUUGAGGAAGAACCACCCCAUGUCCCUUGGACUCACAGCACCUCUGAGCAUCGAGGGACUCGGGAUGACAUGGGGAUCGGUGACUGUAUACAGCUGUGGAUGCAGACAGAUGGAUUUGUGACUCAGGGUCAUCACGCAUGGAGGCACGCUUACCCCUGCCUGAAGACAUGACCUGCCUUCUCGGGGAUGGUUGUCGGCCAUUCUCUUCCGGGUCACACAGGAAGAAGGUGAUCUCAUCUUUAUUGCCACCUCUUCCCCCACCCCGACCUGAAAGCUGGAUUAGCCCUGAUGUCCAUAAGGUGGCAGAGGCCCUUGGCUCUGCCUGGGAGGCAUUGCUGGCUAUCAUGUGUUGCGCUAACCUUGGGAGUGACCUUGAUUGGGGAGGCAGGGAACAAGCAAGAAAUUAGUAUGUUGGAGAGCUGGCCAGUGUCCCGGUUAAGGAUGGCUGGCUCAGGUUCCACCCCCAAGAUGAACUUGGAGCUCUUUGAGAGCAAGACCUAUGUCUGAAGCAUCUCUGUAUUCAUAGUGCCUCGAUUAACACCUGGCAUGUAGCAGGUGUUCGUCUGACACUGGGCGCUCCUGUAGUUGCCAGCAAC
ensembl:lncRNA